ensembl:lncRNA
CUUACGUUCAUAGUGGCAUUUGAAAGAGAUCAUCCCUCAAGAUCAGUGCUGUAGAUUUAUGUGCCCAGGACUUAACAUCCCAGCUAUUUGGGCUUAGUCUGAGCUACGACUUAAAAGCAGCAGCACACAAGAACAGUGCAGGUCUUCUAAAGCAACCAUAAAGAACAAACUCAAACAAAGGACUGAUGGAGAAGAACUGUGCAGCUGUAACCUGGGUGAACACGUCUGCAAAAUGGAGGCAGGCAUAUUUGAGAGUCAGCAAUGUUGGACAGCAUCAAACACCACAACAGAGUUGUCUCCUUUUGCAUGUAUCCAUUAAAACAGGAGCUGAUUAUUGAAUAUUUGAGUUUCCAGAAAUGACCUUUCUCUGAUCACUCUGAAGAAUGUGCGUUAUCAUCUUCCUUCAUUCCUUAGUGAAUAACAAAAAUCUGCAAGAAUUUAAAAGAAUAGCAUCAUUCUUAUAUUUGACUCUCACAAAGAAUUUGGUUUGUACUGCAGUGUUUAUACAUUUUGGAAUGUAAAAUGAAUAAAAGGACAAAAAUUUAAUUGUUUUUUUUUUCUUUCCUUUUGACAUUUUAUCUUCUUUCAUUCGCAUGUGUAGGAUAUCCUAACCAAAGAACCAAAGAACACUUCCCUGGUGGUAUUUUCAGAUCAUCCAUCAUUUCUGAAAGAUUUAAUUACACGUAAAUCCAUGGCAAAAGUACUGAUGAUUAAAUUCUGGCUCUGCACUGCUGUUUAGUGCCAUUUACACUGAUGUAAUGUGUCUGAGCUCAGACAAGCUGCAGUCCAUUUUUCUCUUAUGUAAGCCACAAACAGAUCCACAACCAUCUGAUUUAUUAAAGAAUGGGUUACAAAGAUGUGUUUAGCAAUGAUGUAAUGGAUUUGAUUUCCACUCCCCUGCCUCUGCCUUUUUCCUUUCAGUACUUCUUAUUCUAUUGCAAAAAUAGUUAUAUAGCUCUAUAGAUAAUGGAUUCUGUAUGUUUUCUAGAAAAUCAGUCUGUAUAUAAAACCACAUGCAGGAUGUUAAGAGUUAUAUUUGCACUAAGUUGAGACAGACUUAUCAUUUGCAUAUUUUUAUAGACUUCUCUUUUGAUUUUAGAACAAUUAUGAGCAACAGCUAAAAAAGAAUACUAUAAGGUAUCAUAGAAUCACAGAAUUGUUAAGGUUGAAAAAGGCCACUAAGAUCAUCUAGUCCUGGGCAGCCUGUUCCAAUGCCUCACCUCUGUUUCUUAGAAUAAUAUUUUUCCAAAUAUCCUGCCUGAACCUCCCCUGGCACAGCUUAAAGCCAUUCUCUCUUGUCCUAUCAGUGUUACCUGGGAGAAAAAAGUUCCUAUUCUCACUUCCACAAAAGUAAAAAAAAAAUUAAAAAAGCCCUUUUGGAAUUAAUUUAUAUUAUAUAUUUGCAAACAUAUUAAGCUUAUCUCUACCAUAUGUAUAUAGUCUAUCAUACAGUAUAUAGUGUAUACUAUAUAAAUACUACAUACACAUAUUUUUUUCUCAAAAUAAUCUGUAAAAACCACUAGAAAAAUUUGGCAAAUUUAUAGUUAUUUCUUCACAAAUUACCAGGACUUUUUUUAUUCUAGCAUCUAUGUUGCUAUGUUGUUUAAUGUAUAAGGAAAGAAUCCUCCUUUCGGAAACUCA